UUCGAAUUAUGAUUUUUGUCUUUUCUUUUGAGUAAGUUUUUUUUUUUUUUUUUGAACAAAGAGUAAGUAAUACUUAAAAACAAUUCCAUGUCCAU
rnacentral:sRNA from 1 species